rnacentral:rRNA from 1 species
GCCGCAGCCAAACUGUGCUAAGGUAGCACAAUAACUUGCCUUUUAAUUGAAGGAUAGAAUGAAAGGAUACACGAUCAAAAAAUUUUUUAAAUUGUAUAAUUUAAAAUUAACUUAAAUAUAAAAAGACAUUUAUAAAAAAGAAAGACAAUAAGACCCUAUUGAACUUAACUAAAAGUUAACUGGGGUGGUAUAAAAUUAAAACUUAUUAAUUAAAUCAAAAUAAAAGAUCCAUAAUAUUGUACAUUAAAACAAGUUACCAUAGGGAUAACAGCGUUAUUAUUAUUUAAAGCACAUAUUUAAAUAAUAGAUUACGACCUCGAUGUUGAAUUUAGUGUUACUUCUUAACGCAACAGUAAAUUAAAGUAGGUCUGUUCGACCUUUAAACCACUACAUGAUUUGAGUUCAGACCGGUGCAAACCAGGUCAGCUUCUAUCUUCUUCACAUUAUGUAACAGUACGAAAGGACCUUACAAAUAAUA